GAUUUCAACUGAAAAAGUCAUCAACAACAAAAUUAUAUAACUCAUCAAGAUCUAUAACUUUUAUUUUGGUUGUUUCUUCAUCCGACAAAGUGAUAGUAAUAUUGUUCACAAAAUUUACAUGUCUCUCAUAUAUUUUUAUAAACUAUAAUAGACAUAUGUAAACUUUAUGAACAAUGUUACUAUCACUUUAUCAGAUGAAGAAAUGACCAAAAUAAAAGUUGUAUGUCUUGAUGAGCUCUGCAACUUUUAUGUUCAUGACUUUUUCAGCUGAAAUU
rnacentral:pre_miRNA from 1 species